UGAGGGAGACCAUAAGCUCCCUGAGCCUCAGUCUUCUCAUCUGUAAAAGGGGCAAUGAUCACUCAGUUGAGGGGGAUGAAUGGGCACUAGCCUAGGGGAAGUGCCCGGCCCCUCUGUGGCCAUAAGAACCCUGGCUGGUUCUGGGUGGGGCUGCAGAGCCGAGCACUCAGUUGUCAAAAGUUUCCAGGAGGGAAGCAUUUUAACUUCAUCAUUAAACUUAAUCCCAUUUAUUUAAUUUCAUCAUUCAAAGUUAACUUCUGUGUCACAGAGGAAAAAUAAAAAAUUAUUUGAAAUUACGCACAAAUGGUGGUGGUGGGGCACAAUUCUUCAGGCUUUUCCUGCCUACUACAACUGCUGAGCCCAUGCCUCGACAACACUUCAAUGAACGGGCGUGGCCAUGUCCCCACCACAAACACAGGUGCCAGCCGGCUCUGACUUGAAGGUGACAGCUGGCUAACUCUGCCCAGAGUGACCGUCUGGGUCCCUGGGUGGGCCCCCUCCAGUCUACUCUGCAUAUUUCAGGUUGAGGACAUAUUUCAAAGACUCUGGGACGGGCCUGAGCAACAAACACACAUGGAGACCUCGCAACCUUCCUAAAGUGGCAGUGGGCAGCUGGCUGUAGCCCAACGUUUUCAAGACUGAUUCCAAGAAGGUGCAGAGCUGGAAAACACAGUCCAUGGCUCCAGACGGGCUAAGAUGAUAUGCACAAUAAAGAUGAAAAGGUGGAGGGCAAGACAGAGUGAACCAGAAGUGAUGGGAAGACUUGGGGGUGUUUCGAGAGCAAGGAGAAGGGGCAGCUGGGCACAGAGACAUGAGGAGGUUGACCAGCAAGCCGAGCUGUGCUGGGUUGGAUGUCUGCUCUGCAUCCUUUGAAGGCCCAACCCCUAGAGUCUGAUUCCAGAGGUCUGCACUGAAAUCCAAGAACCUGCAUUUCUAAGACGUCUCCAGGUGAAGCUGAGACCAGAGCCAGGACCACACAUUGAGAACCACUGGUUGAGGCUGCCUCGGUAACAAACUCUGGCCAAUGAGAACGCUGCCCGUCCAUCAGAAGACCACAUUUCAUGUGUCAAUUACUUCCUAACACACAGGUGCUUGGGGAUAAUAUCACUGAAUUUGUGUAACAGCAGCCUUAGGAGGCAGGGAGCCUUAAUCCUCAAUUUCCAGAAGAGGCAACAGGUCCAGAGAGUUGAGGCUUUUCUGAUGAAAAUUUUGCAGCCCAGAACUGACACAGGAAAUCAGGUUUGGUUCUCUUGGAAACAGGAAGCAUCUAAAUGUGAGUUACUCUAUACCUACAACCCACCAGGGUGGGGUAACCAGUAAAUAUAGUCAGUUUUCCUCCAAAAUAAGAAGGCCUCUAUUUCAUUCCCGCUUUGAGGAAAAGACCUGGUAUUUGAACACCUGCCUGUGACACAUUGCAAAUGCAUGUUUUACUCCCGCUUUCCCUCUGAUUUUACAUUUUCUGCAUUUCCCAAAUUUUCUACAAUGAGUUUGCAUUAUUUGGAGGGUGAGUGAGAGGAAGCAAAGCAAACACCAUAAAAAGAAAAUGAAUUCCCUCGUGUACAUUAGAAACAAUUGUCAGGUCUUAAUUUAAAACACACACUCGAGUAUAUAAAAACCCACCGAGAAGCUCAUCUCAUUAACCUAGCAAGGUCCCCCAUUGACAUCAACAGGCAUGUAGAAAAGUGGUCCAGCUUUCAUCAUGCUGCCUGGGUUCUCUCUUAAGGGGCCUCUGGGGGUGUUUGAUAAAAUAUACCAGCAAAAGCGUUCAGUCAGUCUAGGGUAAGGCCCAGGAAUCUGUGUGUCCUUCUCUUCUUUUAACAAGCACCUAAAUGAUUCGCAGAAUCAAGCCAAGGGUAAAGCACACUCAGAUGCUGAGCCCAGCUUCCAUCAAAAACCAUCCAGGUGAAAAAGGAGCAGGUGAGCAGUUGACAAGGGAAGGUUGUCUCACCUGUCUCAUACAGGUAGCAUCUCCCUGUGUCUGGGUGCUGAGCCUGUCUGGAAGCACGGACUCACAAAAGCCCCCGUCUCCCACCAAAGCCAGAAGGAGCUCCCAGCUGGGCUCAGGCGAGCUCCCCAGCCAGAGCUGGUUCAGGGAGCGGGCUUCCCCCUCCCCUCUCCACAGUCCUGCAGCUCCCCGUGCAGUCCGGCACUGGGGGCAAGACGCCCAUCAACAACCCCGAUCGAG